rnacentral:sRNA from 1 species
UAAUUUCUUGAAUCGCCUUGUAACAGUUUGCAAAGAGCACGUCCUGGCCAUCCCAGGCAAGUGUGCUAAUGCGAGGGCAAAGAGUUCUGGAGUGGAGUGGAGGCCUCGUUAGCGCUAGCUGACCUAACUGAUGAGCGUCCAUUUCUAUCAAAGGCAUACCAGCAUUUUCAGAGGAGGACGCCAGAGGCGACAGUCUGACUUCCGGGUCCAAUGCAGUAUCCCUGGACACAAAGCAGCAGUGGGCGGGACUCUGUAACUACCUCAGAGUGUUUGGUACUGUGCAUUUCAGGCAGAACAGCUAUGGAAGAAGG